GGCUUCACAGCUCAGCUGGUGGAGCAUGGGCUUAGAAAAGCUUAGGCGGAAUCCAUGCGUGGGUUCGAAUUCCACUGAGGCUA
rnacentral:tRNA from 1 species